rnacentral:rRNA from 1 species
UACGGAGGGUGCAAGCGUUGUCCGGAAUCACUGGGCGUACAGGGCGCGUAGGCGGCUCGGUAAGUAGGGGGUGAAAUCCUGCGGCUCAACCGCAGGGCUGCCUUCUAAACUGUCGAGCUCGAGCACGGUAGAGGCAGAUGGAAUUCCCGGUGUAGCGGUGGAAUGCGUAGAGAUCGGGAAGAACAUCAGUGGCGAAGGCGGUCUGCUGGGCCGUUGCUGACGCUGAGGCGCGACAGCGUGGGGAGCAAACAGG